UUUGCUAUCUGAAUGUAGCUGUACUGCUAAAUAUAUUUAAUAAUUUUUAAUAUUCAUCUUUUUAUCAUUAUGUCAAAGAUGCAAGCCAGUGUUGAAGCCUUCCUCAUUGGUGUGGAACCAGGACAGCCCUUCCUCCUGCGUUUGUGGAAACAAGAGCAGCAGCAAAGACACUUCACCAUUAGUGAUCACAAGAUCAUCCAAGGACUUGGUUUAUUACAGUCCCUGUGGCAAGCAGUUUUCUGCAUGGUCAGCAUUGAAGGCCAUAUUGUCUUUGAGAGGGUCCAGCCAACAUUCCAGACAGGACAGUAUUUUCCAUCUUCAACACCUUCAACACCCAAUAUCAACAUGAGGCAGCCAAGACUUUGGUUCAUUCAAUGGUAAAACCAUUCCUAUAAUUUUUUUUACAAUGAGCAAAAUACAAUGACAUGGUUUUAAAGUUUUAAAGCAAGUUAUGAUUAACAUUUGACAAAGGUGGUGAUGUUUCCUCUUUAUGUAAUUAAAAACAGCUUUAUUUAUAUAUUGUACCAGCUGUCUUCAGAAUGCCACACUAUUUAUAUUCUCAGGAAUUUUCCCAUUUUUGAUUGUGUUUCUUAGUCGCUUCAUUAGGAUUGACCCAGAAAGGGGCACAAAAGCCGGUCAUGGGAAAAUGGUAUCCAAAAAGCCAGGACUGACCAUUCAAAAGAAAAAGCAGACAGUGAAUGAGCAGGUUUCCACCCUCAUCAAAAACCUGAUGGACUUUGAGUGGCAUCUCAUUCAGGUUAGUUGUUGUCCUUCUCUUUUCUUUGAAAUAUUUCUGUUUCCAUAUCAUUUAGGAUCUAAAUUAUAUUGUCUUAUCUUUUUCCAUGUUGGACGGUGCCUUCAUCUGCAUCUAAUAAAGUAAGUGUCACUUGGACUCUUGAAAACCAUUAAUAGUUCACAUUUUAAAACCCUGUUGAUUCUAGAAUUCCACAAUAUUUCAGCCAUGUUGAAUUUUAGAUUUUGGAAGUUCUAUUUCUUUGAUUUGUUUAGUGAUACCCAAAGAAUGGAUAUUUGUUUAAGAACUGUGUUUUAUGUACUUAACAUUGUAGAAAUUAAUGAGUUAAACCCAGUUUAUGUCGCUGUAAACUGAAAGUCUUAAAUUUUUAUUCCAGUGUUACUUUCAUCACUGGUGGCCGACAGGUACAAACACCCAGCAAACACGAGAAAAACACAUGCAACAAAAAAGAGAUGCAAACAAAAGAUGCUAAAAAUAGAAGUGAUCCAGACCACUAGGGGGAGUCGAACAAAGAAUAAUUAUGUCCGAAGUCAGGUUUUGCAUCAUUGGGUCCUGGACGACCGGAAGAGAGAAGCUGUAGCUUUUUUUUUUUUUUUUU